rnacentral:rRNA from 1 species
AGAGUUUGAUCCUGGCUCAGGAUGAACGCUAGCUACAGGCUUAACACAUGCAAGUCGAGGGGCAGCAUUGGAGUAGCUUGCUAUUCCAGAUGGCGACCGGCGCACGGGUGCGUAACACGUAUCCAAUCUACCCAUGGCUCGGGAAUAGCCUUUCGAAAGAAAGAUUAAUGCCCGAUGGUCUGCGAUUGAGACAUCUCGAUUACAGUAAAGAUUUAUCGGCGAUGGAUGAGGAUGCGUCCGAUUAGGUAGUAGGCGGGGUAACGGCCCACCUAGCCUACGAUCGGUAGGGGUUCUGAGAGGAAGGUCCCCCACAUUGGAACUGAGACACGGUCCAAACUCCUACGGGAGGCAGCAGUGAGGAAUAUUGGUCAAUGGGCGAGAGCCUGAACCAGCCAAGUAGCGUGAGGGAUGACUGCCCUAUGGGUUGUAAACCUCUUUUGUAUGGGAAUAAAGUCCACUACGUGUAGUGGUUUGUAUGUACCUUACGAAUAAGCAUCGGCUAAUUCCGUGCCAGCAGCCGCGGUAAUACGGAAGAUGCGAGCGUUAUCCGGAUUUAUUGGGUUUAAAGGGAGCGUAGGCGGGCCUUUAAGUCAGCGGUUAAAUGUCAGUGCCCAACGUUGGCAUGCCGUUGAUACUGGAGGUCUUGAAUACACACAAGGACGGUGGAAUUCGUCGUGUAGCGGUGAAAUGCUUAGAUAUGACGAAGAACUCCGAUUGCGAAGGCAGCCAUCUGGGGUGCGAUUGACGCUGAGGCUCGAAAGUGCGGGUAUCAAACAGGAUUAGAUACCCUGGUAGUCCGCACCGUA